rnacentral:rRNA from 1 species
AUACGUAGGUGGCAAGCGUUGUCCGGAUUUACUGGGCGUAAAGGGUGCGCAGGCGGUUGUUUAAGUCAGAUGUGAAAUUCCGGGGCUUAACCCCGGAACUGCAUUUGAAACUGGACGGCUGGAGUGCAGGAGAGGGAAGCGGAAUUCCUAGUGUAGCGGUGAAAUGCGUAGAUAUUAGGAAGAACACCAGUGGCGAAGGCGGCUUUCUGGACUGUAACUGACGCUGAGGCACGAAAGCGUGGGGAGCGAACAGGAUUAGAUACCCUGGUAGUCCACGCUGUAAACGAUGAGUGCUAGGUGUAGGGGGUAUCGAAACCCUCUGUGCCGCAGUAAACGCAAUAAGCACUCCGCCUGGGGAGUACGGUCGCAAGACUAAA